GAUGAACGCUGGCGGCGUGCCUAAUACAUGCAAGUCGAGCGAACGGACGAGAAGCUUGCUUCUCUGAUGUUAGCGGCGGACGGGUGAGUAACACGUGGAUAACCUACCUAUAAGACUGGGAUAACUUCGGGAAACCGUAGCUAAUACCGGAUAAUAUUUUGAACCGCAUGAUUCAAAAGUGAAAGACGGUCUUGCUGUCACUUAUAGAUGGAUCCGCGCUGCAUUAGCUAGUUGGUAAGGUAACGGCUUACCAAGGCAACGAUGCAUAGCCGACCUGAGAGGGUGAUCGGCCACACUGGAACUGAGACACGGUCCAGACUCCUACGGGAGGCAGCAGUAGGGAAUCUUCCGCAAUGGGCGAAAGCAUGACGGAGCAACGCCGCGUGAGUGAUGAAGGUCUUCGGAUCGUAAAACUCUGUUAUUAGGGAAGAACAUAUGUGUAAGUAACUGUGCACAUCUUGACGGUACCUAAUCAGAAAGCCACGGCUAACUACGUG
rnacentral:rRNA from 1 species